rnacentral:rRNA from 1 species
AGUGAACGCUGGCGGUAGGCCUAACACAUGCAAGUCGAACGGCAGCACAGUAAGAGCUUGCUCUUACGGGUGGCGAGUGGCGGACGGGUGAGGAAUACAUCGGAAUCUACUUUUUCAUGGGGGAUAACGUAGGGAAACUUACGCUAAUACCGCAUACGACCUACGGGUGAAAGCAGGGGAUCUUCGGACCUUGCGCGAUUGAAUGAGCCGAUGUCGGAUUAGCUAGUUGGCGGGGUAAAGGCCCACCAAGGCGACGAUCCGUAGCUGGUCUGAGAGGAUGAUCAGCCACACUGGAACUGAGACACGGUCCAGACUCCUACGGGAGGCAGCAGUGGGGAAUAUUGGGCAACGGGCGCAAGCCUGAUCCAGCCAUACCGCGUGGGUGAAGUAGGCCUUCGGGUUGUAAAGCCCUUUUGUUGGGAAAGAAAAGCAGCAGGUUAAUACCCCGCUGUUCUGACGGUACCCAAAGAAUAAGCACCGGCUAACUUCGUG